AGCGUACACGGUGGAUGCCCUGGCAGUCAGAGGCGAUGAAGGACGUGCUAAUCUGCGAUAAGCGUCGGUAAGGUGAUAUGAACCGUUAUAACCGGCGAUUUCCGAAUGGGGAAACCCAGUGUGAUUCGUCACACUAUCAUUAACUGAAUCCAUAGGUUAAUGAGGCGAACCGGGGGAACUGAAACAUCUAAGUACCCCGAGGAAAAGAAAUCAACCGAGAUUCCCCCAGUAGCGGCGAGCGAACGGGGAGCAGCCCAGAGCCUGAAUCAGUGUGUGUGUUAGUGGAAGCGUCUGGAAAGGCGCGCGAUACAGGGUGACAGCCCCGUACACAAAAAUGCACAUGCUGUGAGCUCGAUGAGUAGGGCGGGACACGUGGUAUCCUGUCUGAAUAUGGGGGGACCAUCCUCCAAGGCUAAAUACUCCUGACUGACCGAUAGUGAACCAGUACCGUGAGGGAAAGGCGAAAAGAACCCCGGCGAGGGGAGUGAAAAAGAACCUGAAACCGUGUACGUACAAGCAGUGGGAGCACGCUUAGGCGUGUGACUGCGUACCUUUUGUAUAAUGGGUCAGCGACUUAUAUUCUGUAGCAAGGUUAACCGAAUAGGGGAGCCGAAGGGAAACCGAGUCUUAACUGGGCGUUAAGUUGCAGGGUAUAGACCCGAAACCCGGUGAUCUAGCCAUGGGCAGGUUGAAGGUUGGGUAACACUAACUGGAGGACCGAACCGACUAAUGUUGAAAAAUUAGCGGAUGACUUGUGGCUGGGGGUGAAAGGCCAAUCAAACCGGGAGAUAGCUGGUUCUCCCCGAAAGCUAUUUAGGUAGCGCCUCGUGAAUUCAUCUCCGGGGGUAGAGCACUGUUUCGGCAAGGGGGUCAUCCCGACUUACCAACCCGAUGCAAACUGCGAAUACCGGAGAAUGUUAUCACGGGAGACACACGGCGGGUGCUAACGUCCGUCGUGAAGAGGGAAACAACCCAGACCGCCAGCUAAGGUCCCAAAGUCAUGGUUAAGUGGGAAACGAUGUGGGAAGGCCCAGACAGCCAGGAUGUUGGCUUAGAAGCAGCCAUCAUUUAAAGAAAGCGUAAUAGCUCACUGGUCGAGUCGGCCUGCGCGGAAGAUGUAACGGGGCUAAACCAUGCACCGAAGCUGCGGCAGCGACGCUGAUGCGUUGUUGGGUAGGGGAGCGUUCUGUAAGCCUGCGAAGGUGUGCUGUGAGGCAUGCUGGAGGUAUCAGAAGUGCGAAUGCUGACAUAAGUAACGAUAAAGCGGGUGAAAAGCCCGCUCGCCGGAAGACCAAGGGUUCCUGUCCAACGUUAAUCGGGGCAGGGUGAGUCGACCCCUAAGGCGAGGCCGAAAGGCGUAGUCGAUGGGAAACAGGUUAAUAUUCCUGUACUUGGUGUUACUGCGAAGGGGGGACGGAGAAGGCUAUGUUGGCCGGGCGACGGUUGUCCCGGUUUAAGCGUGUAGGCUGGUUUUCCAGGCAAAUCCGGAAAAUCAAGGCUGAGGCGUGAUGACGAGGCACUACGGUGCUGAAGCAACAAAUGCCCUGCUUCCAGGAAAAGCCUCUAAGCAUCAGGUAACAUCAAAUCGUACCCCAAACCGACACAGGUGGUCAGGUAGAGAAUACCAAGGCGCUUGAGAGAACUCGGGUGAAGGAACUAGGCAAAAUGGUGCCGUAACUUCGGGAGAAGGCACGCUGAUAUGUAGGUGAGGUCCCUCGCGGAUGGAGCUGAAAUCAGUCGAAGAUACCAGCUGGCUGCAACUGUUUAUUAAAAACACAGCACUGUGCAAACACGAAAGUGGACGUAUACGGUGUGACGCCUGCCCGGUGCCGGAAGGUUAAUUGAUGGGGUUAGCGCAAGCGAAGCUCUUGAUCGAAGCCCCGGUAAACGGCGGCCGUAACUAUAACGGUCCUAAGGUAGCGAAAUUCCUUGUCGGGUAAGUUCCGACCUGCACGAAUGGCGUAAUGAUGGCCAGGCUGUCUCCACCCGAGACUCAGUGAAAUUGAACUCGCUGUGAAGAUGCAGUGUACCCGCGGCAAGACGGAAAGACCCCGUGAACCUUUACUAUAGCUUGACACUGAACAUUGAGCCUUGAUGUGUAGGAUAGGUGGGAGGCUUGGAAGUGUGGACGCCAGUCUGCAUGGAGCCGACCUUGAAAUACCACCCUUUAAUGUUUGAUGUUCUAACGUUGACCCGUAAUCCGGGUUGCGGACAGUGUCUGGUGGGUAGUUUGACUGGGGCGGUCUCCUCCUAAAGAGUAACGGAGGAGCACGAAGGUUGGCUAAUCCUGGUCGGACAUCAGGAGGUUAGUGCAAUGGCAUAAGCCAGCUUGACUGCGAGCGUGACGGCGCGAGCAGGUGCGAAAGCAGGUCAUAGUGAUCCGGUGGUUCUGAAUGGAAGGGCCAUCGCUCAACGGAUAAAAGGUACUCCGGGGAUAACAGGCUGAUACCGCCCAAGAGUUCAUAUCGACGGCGGUGUUUGGCACCUCGAUGUCGGCUCAUCACAUCCUGGGGCUGAAGUAGGUCCCAAGGGUAUGGCUGUUCGCCAUUUAAAGUGGUACGCGAGCUGGGUUUAGAACGUCGUGAGACAGUUCGGUCCCUAUCUGCCGUGGGCGCUGGAGAACUGAGGGGGGCUGCUCCUAGUACGAGAGGACCGGAGUGGACGCAUCACUGGUGUUCGGGUUGUCAUGCCAAUGGCACUGCCCGGUAGCUAAAUGCGGAAGAGAUAAGUGCUGAAAGCAUCUAAGCACGAAACUUGCCCCGAGAUGAGUUCUCCCUGACUCCUUGA
rnacentral:rRNA from 1 species